rnacentral:lncRNA from 1 species
GGUGUUUUUUAUUUAUUGAAAGUUCGAGCGUAAUCUGUCGUUCCGCUGGGAAUUGGAAGAUUGCGAAACCGCUUGUGGUUGGCGGACUACUGCACAAGUGUGUGGUGUUGCGAAUUUCCAUUGGGUUGCAAGUUCGUUGUGCGGCGACGGGUGAACAGCCGGAAGAUUUGUAGAAUCAUACAAGUUAUCCACGUUGCUCUCUGAGAAGAUCGGGCCACCCCUUAUCAUCUUGGUAUCAGAUUUCUAGUGUUUACUCAGUGAGCGUAAUUUUUCCCGUAGUUAGAUCUUUCUUCGUCCUAUCCAGAAAAAAGCCAUACAAAAAUUCUAGGUUAAAUUUUGCCAUAACCUUAGUUGCACCGUUUCCUUGUGUUUAGUUGCUGAUCUGAGUCCUUCUUUGAGUCGGUUUGCUCUUUUGAGUACGAGUAUAUCUUUUGCUCUACGGGCUGCUGUUGUUUUUCCAUAAGAAUACGAUUGAUUUGUAAGUGAUUUGAGUUCCUGGAAAGCUUCGGCCGCAAGGAAAGAGUAGGGGAGAGCAAAAAAAAAAAAAAGAAGUCUGGAACUCUCUCCGAAAUUUUUUCGAGCCUAGAAUAUUUUACCCUUCCGGGAUCGUUUUUAGCUAUCCACCAUUGUAGCGGAAAAGUUGUGAUCCAAAAUUUGCUAUUUCCAAUUGUCGUUUGAGCAAUCUUGUGCCCGUUUCCUUUGAGCCUUUGCUAGUGUCUCUCCUUGUGCAUUGCAACACGAGCUUACCUCCGACGUAUCUCAUAGUUUCAGCUCUUCCAUAUAGUUGCAUUUGCCCCAAUUAUCUCCACCGUGUGUGUUUCCCGUG